AAAACAAUAGAUAUUCAAAAAGACAUAAAUUAAAUUAAGAACCUGGUCUCACAAAUCAAGCAAAAGAACUUAAAUCCCUUGAACUGAAUGAAAAACUUAGCCACUCAUGGCUUACAGAAAAAUAAAAGAAAAACUAAAUAAGAAUUCUAAAAGAUGAAUGGAGAGGCUGCUGAAUCUCUCAAUCUCUGAAUGCCUUUUAGUCGGCUGCUAACUCUUCUAUUUAUAUUAAAUGGUCUAGGGUUAGGUUCUCUGUCAAAAACUGCAACUGGA
rnacentral:misc_RNA from 1 species